rnacentral:rRNA from 1 species
GACGAACGCUGGCGGCGUGCUUAACACAUGCAAGUCGAACGGGUCUGCCCUGUUUUUUGCGGGGUGGGUCAGUGGCGAACGGGUGAGUAACACGUGAGUAACCUGCCCCUCACUUCUGGAUAACCGCUUGAAAGGGUGGCUAAUACGGGGUGUUCUGGCUGUGCCGCAUGGUGUGGCUGGGAAAGAUUCACUUUUGUGGUGUUUUGGUGGGGGAUGGGCUCGCGGCCUAUCAGCUUGUUGGUGGGGUGAUGGCCUGCCAAGGCUUUGACGGGUAGCCGGCCUGAGAGGGUGGGCGGUCACACUGGGACUGAGAUACGGCCCAGACUCCUGCGGGAGGCAGCAGUGGGGGGUAUUGCACAAUGGGCGGAAGCCUGAUGCAGCGACGUCGCGUGAGGGAUGGAGGCCUUCGGGUUGUGAACCUCUUUCGCCGGUGAAGAAGGUCCUGCUAUUUGUGGUGGGGUUGACGGUAGCCGGGUUAUGAAGCGCCGGCUAACUACGUG